AGCACGUAGGUGGGUUUGUAAGUCAGCUGUGAAAGCCUUCUGCUUAACGGAAGAACAGCAGUUGAAACUACAGUGCUUGAGUGCGGGAGGGGAGAGUGGAACUUCUGGUGGAGCGGUGAAAUGCGUAGAUAUCAGAAGGAACGCCGGCGGCGAAAGCGGCUCUCUGGCCCGUAACUGACGCUGAGUGUGCGAAAGCUAGGGGAGCAAACGGGAUUAGAUACCCCGGUAGUCCUAGCCGUAAACGAUGGGCACUAAGUAGAGGGGUUUU
rnacentral:rRNA from 1 species